AUAUAGUCACAUGUAGUAACAAGAAUGAACAUAACUACAUCUGACUAUAGUUGACUACAUAUAGUCAUAUCUAGUCAUGUGCAGUAACAAUAAUGCACAUAACUACUUAUGACUAUAGUUCACCGAAGUAAAUUUAUCAAUAAAGUGUUUUUCAUUGUUUUUUGUAUUUUUCAUGCAAUGUAAUUCGAAUUUUGCAGGUAUUUUUUGAGUUCACCAAAGUAUUUUUUGUAUAGCCAUCAUCGAAUUUUGCAGUUAUUUUUUGAGUUUUGGUUUUAAUUUUUUUUCUUUUUUUUUUCGUGCGAGGCUGUGAGUUUAAUUUUAGGAGUCGACUUGUACAUAAAACGCGAUUGUUGUGGCAAGAAAUAUAAUAAAAAAAUCUCGAAACUUGUUCCUAGUGGUGGUGCGACAAAACUGACUGUUCAUCCAUUGAAGGCAUAGAAAAGGUCUUGGUGUUUGAACUACUAUGUAGUAAGUUUUUGCGGAGUGGAUUGUGUUCGUUGUUCAAAACAAGCGGUUCUCGUGUUGACAAGUGUGAUUUGAGUCAAAUUUGGUCGUAUAGAUAUCUGUAGUCAUGUAUAGUUUCAAUUAGUUAUAUAUAUUUAUGUACAAGCUAUGUGGUUUUUCUGAUGUAUAGUGAUCUUGAUGAUUGUGUUUUUUUUUUCACUUUUUUGUUAGGCAUUAAAUUAUUUAUAAUAUCAAGAAUCAAAUUUUGAAU